AUGUUUUAUUUUAAUGACAAAUACACAUUUCACAUCGUUUUUGUUACUUGGCACACAGAUGCACUUCCAAUCUGGAUACAUUGUAUCACCACUGUGAUUGUUCCUCCCACUAAUCACUGAUGAUUUUGUGUCUCUAAACAUACUUUUAACGCAGAUUUUAUUUUAAUUUUUUUACUUGUUUCUAACACAUUAGAUUUUUCAGAUAUUUUCAUUUUUUGUUUUUAAGUUUGACCGACUCUAUAAAAGCUAGCGCGAUACGCAUUUUACCAUAUGUUGUAAUUUAUAGCAUUGAUGUUUCAGUAAAACAAAAAAACUAAUAUUACGAUAUUACAUUUAUUAUUCAUUAUUAUUAUUAUUAUUUAGAGGUGUCAAAUUAUCACGUUAAUUGUGAAUAAUUAGUCAUAUUUAGCACAUUAUGUUUUUUAAUCACGUUAAUCAAAAUUUUAAUCUCUAACUUCAUUGUUUCUGUAGGUGGGUUGCCUUUUUCUAACAUCCCUUUUUAUGUGUUGGCUUCCUGUGAUCGAGCUGUUGAUUGUGGGGGAGCAACUAUCAGUCACAGCCUGACGCGGACAUUGAUUGGCUGCCAUUAGGUUUGGGCUUGUUUAGCAUAAGCUGACUGACUCCCAUCAGAGUUGGGCGGGCUAAGUAAGCAGCUUUGAGGAGAGGUGAAAAUGGAGGAGCAUGUGAGCUUUCUCUGCACAAUGAAUGGACAAUUUACAUUCCAAAAAUGCCCUGACGGCACUAUUGAUAAAGGUAGAGUGUUGUGCCUAAUUCGUAAGGAGUUUUCUUACCAACAAAGCAGCUCACGUUUAGCCUCCUACAUCAAUGCAAAGCACCCAGUCGCGAGUGCAGCCACGGCUAACGUUAGCACCGAAAGCAUUAGCAAUAGAGGGAGCCAUAGCAAAGCUCUUCGCCAAACUAAACUCAAGGAGAACACCCCGCGUAUUGGGCAUAGCUGCUGUGUCCUCUUGUAGCCUAUUAUAGACUUUUUCAAGAUGGCGCCCGAGUAGGCAGCCUUCAGCAAGUGCUCUUCAAGAGCCUUGCUUUUUUUGUUCUUUUUGGGUGUUUUUGUCUUUUGUUUUGUCACAUGUUGUUUGUUGUUUCAUCGUGUGGACCUGAUAUUGACUGUUUUCAGCACUUUUUGGCCACGACAUUCGUCAAAGGAGAAAUAUAUGUGCUUGGUGGUUGCGCCUUUUCGGCAGAUGCACUUUUGUAGCCUGUUAACUAUCGUAGCUCACACGUACCGUUUUAAAGUGCUUCCCUGGGCCGUCUUGGAUUCCUAUUCUUUCCCCGUGUCCUCGGUGAAUUGUACACGAAGCAAACUCUGAAUGAGAAUAAUGACGAUAAAAGAUACAGCGCAACAGCUCUUAUCACAAGCUGCAAUUGCAGACUCCUGAGCGCUAACAACUUCCGAUCAUAAUCCCGCGCCACCGUAAAUUCAAGAUUUACCUGCUUUAUUUUAUUUUUUAAUUUUUUUUGUGUGUAAAUGGGACUGAUAGGAUGAUUAGGGUGCAGCGUACAUUAACACAAAAAAUAUAUUACUAACAUGUACAAAAACAGACAAAUGGUUGUUUGUUUUUUUUUCUCCUCGACACUCCUCGGAUCUACUUGGGACCUGUCUUAAAUCUACCGGUAGAUCAGGAUCCACGUAAUGGGGACCCCUGGUAUAGACGAUAUAAACAAUAUAAACAGCAUAAACAACAACAUAAACAAUGGCGCUUGUGGCUAUUGUGGGUAGAGUGAGGUAGUGCAUUAUAUACACUUCAUCAUCAAAUCAGUCUGUUCAGUCUGUUAAGUGGGUUGGCUGCAGGGAUUUUGAAGGUCCAGCAGGUGGCAGUGAUCAGCGACACAGUAUCAGCACAGUAUCAAUGCAGUAUCUCAUUGUAUCGACACGCCUCAAACAUUUUCGACCGUUUUUAAAAAAUUCUUAAAAAUGUAAUCUUUGUUCUCCCGUGAGGGCUGUAGAUAGUGAUGGGUCCAGCGACACCGAUGCAUUGACACAUGCGCCGGGCUCACAGAGCAAACCACGUGUCGAUGCAUGUGCUGCUUCAUUACGUCACGUGAUUGACACGUGAACCGCAUUGACACAGUCGAGGCUUCUAAUUGACACACCGGCUGCGUUGACACAGUCCAGGCUGCUAAUUGACACAUCGACUGUGUUGACACAGUCCAGGCUGCUAAUUGACACAUCGGCUGCGUUGACACAGUCCAGGCUGCUAAUUGACACGUGAACUGCACCGGUGCAGUUUAGACCGCAUCGGCUGCUUGGCACCGUACAGGCUGCGCCACUUAGUCCAGGGGGCGGCGACUCAGUGCAGAGGGUGUUGACGCAGCAAAAGCCCGCCGCACAGUGUUUAUAAGGAAGUGGGUUUGGCGACACAAUGCCACUUGCCGAAACAAGCCAGACCUCACUCACGCUCGCUUGUCGAAGUUCGUGUCAGUGCAGACUUCGUGUUCGUGCCUUGCCUUCCUUGUCGAUUAUGGAGCAGAGACGCAAAUCAUCCGCCGUGUGGGACCAUUUUGAUGUCCUGGAGAAUAAGGUGAAAUGUCGAAUUUGCCAAGUCGAAUUGUCAUACACCAACAGAAGCACCUCCACCAUGCUGAGGCAUUAUCGGGCCAAGCAUGAGAAUGAAGUUCGCGAUACACACAGUAUUACGCCAGGUUCCAGGAAGCAGCUGUACUGGAAGGACCAACACACUUCUUUCCCAAACCUCUCCCACCUCGCAAAGGAGUUCCUUUGUACGCCAGCCUCAUCCGUCCCUUGUGAGCGUAUGUUCUCCACAGCAGGAGAAAUCGCUUGUAAAAGACGCAACAGGCUGAAGUUUAAAACAUUGGAGCAUCUUAUUUUUCUCAAUAAAAAUUUGUGAAAUAAAAGCCCACA